rfam:Schistosoma rodhaini strain Burundi genome assembly, scaffold: SROB_scaffold0003658
AUCCAGCUUAUGGGUCCUAAAUAGGGCGAAAUGCGCAUCCUGGAU